rnacentral:lncRNA from 1 species
UCAUCUUAGUUAAAUAAAAUCAGUCUGCAGUUUGGGUGGCUGGGGCUUUAUCCAGGAAAGCUGUGGCGCUCAGAGAGAACAGAUACAAAGCCUGCUGAAAUCUGUCCAGAUAGUAUCUGAGCUCCCGGCAAGAAGGAAAUGCCACCACCAUCUGCCUCUGUUUGUGAUGACCUGGGAAUAAAUAAAAAUUAACCUUGGCCCUUGAAUGAAUCAUGGAGCUUAUCAGCACUUCCUUCGUGUCUCUAAUGACUAUUGUGAAACAAGUUGACGGUGAAUGUUGGAGGGACAGGGCAGAAGGGCUAUUGUUCUAAAUGGCUCUUUACCAGACACAGCGCUUCCCACCUUCUUGUGUUUUGUGUCAUGAUGCACUUUGCACUCUGUAUUAGUAACAGCGAAAAAUAAGGAGACAGCAUCUUCCGAACUCAGCAGGAGCUCAAUGAACCACUGGGAAAGAAAGAAGAAAGGAAAAAAGGAAGGAAUGAAAGAGGGGAAGGAGCAAAUGCUGGAGAGAAGAAGAGAAUGACAAUCCCAGUCUCCAGAUGGUCAGUGUGACUGAUGGCUGAGGUCCCUGUGGAUAUGGAGCCUCAUCUUCAGUGUGGGGGAAGAGUGAAGGACAAAAUGGAAAGAGGCCAGGAGCAUUGUGUUCUCUCCAAGUGGAAGGAAACCUCUGGAAUGGGAAAGAAGCAUUCUCUCCUAACAUGGCGUGGUCCUAGAAGGCAACUGAGUGUUUUUGAGAAGACUUCUUAUUUUUUAUGCCACCGCUAAAGAAG